rnacentral:rRNA from 1 species
AUGCGGCGGCCCUCCCUCCGUCCCACCCCAGGAGUGAGGAAGAGGAAGCGGAGGAGAGUCCGUCCCUCUCUCUCUGCCUGUCUGCCGCAAAAGCCAAAUCCCCUCCCAUUUCCACGAGAAAUCCAUCGGAAUCGCACCCGAAACCGCGAAGACGAGCAGCGAGGCCGACGCCGAACAAAUCUCCCCCCUGUCUGUCUGCCCCCUCCGCAAAGCCCGUCCCUUUCCUCUCUUGUUCCGCCUGAAGCCUCCUCCCCCCUUGUUCCUGUCCCCUUCCCGCGCGCCGGAUCGAUCUUGCUUGGCGGCUCGGCCAUGGCAUUGCCCGCGCGCCUCGUGCGCGUCGCGCUGCUCCUCCUCGUCGCGCUCUCCUUCUGCGCCGCCGGCACGCACCGCGAGCCCCACCGGGCGCUCCACUCCGGCCAAGAUACACAUGGCCUGGUGGUGAGAAGAUCAGUUGCUGAAGCUCCUGCUGACAUAAAUGUCACUACCAAUAGCUCCUUCGUGUUGGCGGAACACCGGACUUUUCGGAAGGACCCUCUGAAUGCGUUCAACAGAUAUGCAGGCGGUUGGAAUAUCAGCGAAGUUCACUACUGGGCUUCCGUUGGAUACACAGCGUAUCCGUUGUUCGUCGUUGCCUUGCUGUGGUUUGUGCUAUUCUUCCUCCUCAUGCUUGGGAUUUGCUGCCACCAUUGCUGCUGUGGGCACCAAGGUUAUAGCUACUCGAGGAUAGCAUAUGCCCUUUCACUGAUACUUCUGAUAUUAUUCACCUGCGCCGCAAUUGCUGGAAGUGUUGUGUUGUAUGUUGGCCAGGGCAAAUUCCAUGCAAGCACAACGACCACCUUGGAUUUUGUCGUCGACCAGGCGGAUUUUACUGUUGAAAACCUUAGGAACCUCUCGGAUAGUCUGUCCGCUGCAAAAAAGGUUGACAUAGGACAGUUCUUACUUCCUCCAAAUGUGAUGGGUGAGAUCAAUGAGAUUCAGGCAAAAUUGAACACAUCAGCUACCGAUCUUUCUACUAGAACAUCUGAAAAUUCUGUGAAGAUCCAAAAAUUGCUGAAUCAAGUGCGGCUAGCUUUGAUUAUCAUUGCAGCAGUAAUGCUUCUUCUGGCAUUUAUUGGCUUCCUGUUAUCCAUCCUCGGGCUGGAAUUCCUUGUCAACAUUUUGGUUGCUGUUGGAUGGAUACUAGUCACCGGGACCUUUAUCCUGUGCGGUGUAUUCCUUCUUCUGCACAAUGUUGUUGGUGACACCUGUGUUUCAAUGGACGAGUGGGUUGCUCAUCCAACAGAACACACUGCUCUGGAUGACAUUAUCCCCUGUGUUGAACCGGCUACGGCGAACGAGACCCUGACACGAACCAAGGAAGUCACAUCACAGCUAGUGAAUCUGGUGAACCAGGUGCUCUCCAAUGUGUCAAACCGAAACUUCCCUCCGGCGGCGACUCCCUUCUACUACAACCAGUCAGGGCCACUGAUACCCACACUCUGCAACCCGUUUGGACCCAAUCUGAGCAAGCGCAACUGCGCCCGCGGAGAGGUCACCUUGGACAAUGCAACCCAGGUCUUCAGGAGCUUCGAGUGCCAGACGAGGAUUGUGUCAGGGACCGAGGUGUGCACGACGGUGGGGCGGCUGACCCCUCGGAUCUUCGGGCAGAUGGCGGCGGGCCUGAACGUGAGCCUGGGGCUGUACCAGUACGGGCCGUUCCUGGUGCAGCUGCAGGACUGCACCUUCGUGCGCGACACCUUCAGCAACAUCAGCCAGAACUACUGCCCGGGGCUGGAGCGGUACAGCAGGUGGGUGUACAUCGGGCUGGUGCUGGUGUCGGCGGCCGUGAUGCUGUCCCUCAUCUUCUGGGUGAUCUACGCCAGGGAGCGGCGCCACCGGGCGUACAACAAGGCGCACCGGGGCGACAAGCCGGCGCCGAUGGGCGGGAAUGCCUGA